rnacentral:rRNA from 1 species
AACCAACGCUGGCGGCAGGCUUAACACAUGCAAGUCGAGCGCCCCGCAAGGGGAGCGGCCGACGGGUGAGUACCGCGUGGGAACGUACCUUUUGGUUCGGAACAACUCCGGGAAACUGGAGCUAAUACCGGAUAAGCCCUAACGGGGAAAGAUUUAUCGCCGAAAGAUCGGCCCGCGUCUGAUUAGCUAGUUGGUGAGGUAACGGCUCACCAAGGCGACGAUCAGUAGCUGGUCUGAGAGGAUGAUCAGCCACACUGGGACUGAGACACGGCCCAGACUCCUACGGGAGGCAGCAGUGGGGAAUAUUGGACAAUGGGCGCAAGCCUGAUCCAGCCAUGCCGCGUGAGUGAUGAAGGCCUUAGGGUUGUAAAGCUCUUUUGUCCGGGAAGAUAAUGACUGUACCGGAAGAAUAAGCCCCGGCUAACUUCGUG